AAAGAAUAUCAAAUGCCAUAUAUAUUUUAUAUCAAAUAAAAAAUAUGUUCAAAUCAUCAAAUAUAAUAUUGGAUCUAGGGCAUAUAUACUAUAUCCCUAACAACAGCGAUGUCGACGAUGGUGUAACAUGAUUUACAUAAAAAUUUGCUUUUUUAAAGCGUUGUCAAGUUCGUAUUUGCCUGUGUUGUCGCCUUCGAUGACCUUUCAGAUCCACCGGUGCUUUUCAUCACAUCAUGGAAAUAUCAUCCAGCUUGACAAAAUUUCUCAAAAGUGAAUUUUUUUGUUCAGUAGUGAGAAAUUCCCUCAUGACAUUCAUCUCUCUUCUCCCGGGCGUUAACCGGUGAUCCAAUUUGCUCAGUUGGGGAGUGGACUACUCCGAGCGAUGUAUCGGCCAUAAUAUUUAUGGUAGUGGGGUAGAACUUGGAUGGCUGGCCAAAACGAUUUAUGGUACUCGCUCUAGCACUUAUUUGACAUCUCGAUGCUGCACUUAUUUCACUCAAACUUUCCGCAUUUGAUUUUAGUUCGAUGCUGCUAUAACUAUCGGGUGAGUUUUGUUCUCCUCUCUUUAUUUCCCUUUAUAGGUUUUCAUUUGUGAUAUAUAUUAUACUUAUUAUACUUUAGGAAGGGUGUAUCAUGCUAUCUUUACUUUUGGAAUUAAGCUGUACCGUAGGUACUACUGUUAUUUGGAUUAAGUGACAUUUAAAUAUAAAUAGUUAUCUAAAAUGGGACAACUUGUAAUAUUGUAAAUUAGGGGAUUCUGGAUCUUUUAAAUCGGUAGGUCUUUUUGUUGCUUUCAAUAGGAGAAAUCCUUGAAGCGUGUGUUAUAAAGUUUCAAUCCUGACUAGAAUUUUAAUUGAUUUUGGGGUUUGAGAAAGCUUAUGGAAACUUGCUUUUGUGGUUCCAACUUAAAAUAGAACUCCCAAAUUAUGAAAGAGAAGCCAAUAUGUACUACAAUAACCUUCAUAAAAUAACCAAAAUUCCUAGCACCCAUUACCCCAAAAUGGAUUUAGGAAACUCAAGUUGGAAUGAAGAAGCGAAAACCAAUUUCAACAACCAUUUUGAUCUUCCCUUUAAAGAAAUUGUCUUUUCAGUUCUUUUUUUUUAAAUGAGAACCCAAUUGACAAAAAAGCAAUUUCUGUUGUUUGCAAGUCCUUUUAUGCAGUUGAAAAAUCGGAAAAAUUGAGUGCCCUAAGAUCAAAACACCUGACAAAGAUUCUCAUGAGAACUCUUGAUAAUUUUUCUCCGCCCUAGAAUGACAGUAAUAAAAAACAAUGCCAAAGCUCCACCCAAAAAGGGGAAAAAGCACAGACGAAGAAACUGAGUACAAAAUAAGACCCUUAUGCAUAGAAAAUGUAAACUCACCAGUUGACGGGUGUAGUAGCGAAGAACCCAGCGCCAGGUGAUUUCAACCUGAGUUUUUCCUUACUUCAAUUUUCCACAGAGGUUUGAAGAUAAGACCAAAGGAGUGAUAAAGCAGCAGGAGAGUUUCAGAGAGGGUGCAAGCUAAGUAAAUUGCAAUAUCUAUCCUGCGAGAUAUUAUUUGGUAUAAGUUAUCAACUUUAAGACUCUUACUUUUCCUAGGGGUUUGUUGAAACGCUUUUCUAUAAUAACGUCAUUUGUUCUGAUAUCUUUUAGUUAUUGGAUUAAAGUGUUUAUAGAGAACAUAUAUUACGCAUG
rnacentral:lncRNA from 1 species